AUUGAACGCUGGCGGCAUGCCUUACACAUGCAAGUCGAACGGUAACAGGUCUUCGGAUGCUGACGAGUGGCGAACGGGUGAGUAAUACAUCGGAACGUGCCUAGUAGUGGGGGAUAACUACUCGAAAGAGUGGCUAAUACCGCAUGAGAUCUACGGAUGAAAGCAGGGGAUCGCAAGACCUUGUGCUACUAGAGCGGCCGAUGGCAGAUUAGGUAGUUGGUGGGAUAAAAGCUUACCAAGCCGACGAUCUGUAGCUGGUCUGAGAGGACGAUCAGCCACACUGGGACUGAGACACGGCCCAGACUCCUACGGGAGGCAGCAGUGGGGAAUUUUGGACAAUGGGCGCAAGCCUGAUCCAGCAAUGCCGCGUGCAGGAUGAAGGCCUUCGGGUUGUAAACUGCUUCUGUACGGAACGAAAAGCCCUGGGUUAAUACCCUGGGGUCAUGACGGUACCGUAAGGAUAAGCACCGGCUAACUACGUGCCAGCCGCCGCCGUAAGAC
rnacentral:rRNA from 1 species